rnacentral:rRNA from 1 species
GAUUAAGUUAUUAAGGGCGCACGGUGGAUGCCUUGGCACUAGAAGCCGAUGAAGGACGUUACUAACAACGAUAUGCUUUGGGGAGCUGUAAGUAAGCUUUGAUCCAGAGAUUUCCGAAUGGGGAAACCCAGCAUGAGUUAUGUCAUGUUAUCGAUAUGUGAAUACAUAGCAUAUCAGAAGGCACACCCGGAGAACUGAAACAUCUUAGUACCCGGAGGAAGAGAAAGAAAAUUCGAUUCCCUUAGUAGCGGCGAGCGAAACGGGAAGAGCCCAAACCAACAAGCUUGCUUGUUGGGGUUGUAGGACACUCUAUACGGAGUUACAAAGGACGACAUUAGACGAAUCAUCUGGAAAGAUGAAUCAAAGAAGGUAAUAAUCCUGUAGUCGA